UACAGAGGGUGCAAGCGUUGUUCGGAAUUAUUGGGCGUAAAGGGCGCGUAGGCGGUGCUGUAAGUCUGUAGUGAAAUCUCUGGGCUCAACUCAGAGUCUGCUAUAGAAACUGCAGUGCUGGAGUGUGGGAGAGGUGAGUGGAAUUCCCGGUGUAGCGGUGAAAUGCGUAGAUAUUAGGAGGAACACCGGUGGCGAAGGCGCCACUCUGGGCCGAAACUGACGCUGAGGAGCGAAAGCGUGGGUAGCAAACAGG
rnacentral:rRNA from 1 species